rnacentral:rRNA from 1 species
CAGCCGCCGCGGUAAUACGGAGGGAGCUAGCGUUGUUCGGAAUUACUGGGCGUAAAGUGCACGUAGGCGGUUAUUCAAGUCAGAGGUGAAAGCCCGGGGCUCAACCCCGGAACUGCCUUUGAAACUAGAUGACUAGAAUCUUGGAGAGGUCAGUGGAAUUCCGAGUGUAGAGGUGAAAUUCGUAGAUAUUCGGAAGAACACCAGUGGCGAAGGCGGCUUACUGGCUCAUUCUAGACGCUGAGGUGCGAAAGCGUGGGGAGCAAACAGGAUUAGAUACCCCCGUAGUCCCUGUCUCUUAUAC